UACGUAGGGCGCAAGCGUUUGUCCGGAAUUAUUGGGCGUAAAGAGCUCGUAGGCGGCUUGUCACGUCGGGUGUGAAAGCCCGGGGCUUAACCCCGGGUCUGCAUUCGAUACGGGCUAGCUAGAGUGUGGUAGGGGAGAUCGGAAUUCUCGGUGUAGCGGUGAAAUGCGUAGAUAUCGAGAGGAACACCUGAGGUGAAGACGGGUUGCUGGGCCGACACUGACGCUGAGUGCGCGAAAGCCAGGGGAGCAAACGGG
rnacentral:rRNA from 1 species